rnacentral:rRNA from 1 species
CAGCCGCCGCGGUAAUACGAAGGGGGCUAGCGUUACUCGGAAUUACUGGGCGUAAAGGGCGCGUAGGCGGCGCUCCAAGUUAGGCGUGAAAGUCCUGGGCUCAACCUGGGAACUGCGCUUAAGACUGGAGUGCUUGAGGAUGGAAGAGGGUUGUGGAAUUCCCAGUGUAGAGGUGAAAUUCGUAGAUAUUGGGAAGAACACCGGUGGCGAAGGCGGCAACCUGGUCCAUUACUGACGCUGAGGCGCGACAGCGUGGGGAGCAAACAGGAUUAGAUACCCGCGUAGUCCCUGUCUCUUAUAC